UACGAAGGGGCUAGCGUUGCUCGGAAUCACUGGGCGUAAAGGGUGCGUAGGCGGGUCUUUAAGUCAGGGUGAAAUCCUGGAGCUCAACUCCAGAACUGCCUUUGAUACUGAGGAUCUUGAGUUCGGGAGAGGUGAGUGGAACUGCGAGUGUAGAGGUGAAAUUCGUAGAUAUUCGCAAGAACACCAGUGGCGAAGGCGGCUCACUGGCCCGAUACUGACGCUGAGGCACGAAAGCGUGGGAGCAACAGG
rnacentral:rRNA from 1 species